ACUCCUACGGGAGGCAGCAGUGGGGAAUAUUGCACAAUGGGGGAAACCCUGAUGCAGCCAUGCCGCGUGUGUGAAGAAGGCCUUGGGUUGUAAAGACACUUUCUAGUAGGGAGGAAGGUAGUGUAGUUAACACCUGCACUAUUUGUACGUUACCUACAGAAGAAGCACCGGCUAACUCCGUGCCAGCAGCCGCGGUAAGUACGGAGGGUGCGAGCGUUAAUCGGUAAUUACGUGGGCGUAAAGCGCAUGCAGGCGGCCUGUUAAGUCAGAUGUGAAAGCCCGGGGUCUUAACCUCGGAAUUGCAUUUGAAACUGGCAGGCUAGAGUCUUGUAGAGGGGUUAGAAUUUCAGGUGUAGCGGUGAAAUGCGUAGAGAUCUG
rnacentral:rRNA from 1 species